UUUUAGUUUAGAAACCCUAGUUGCUUAUUUCUUUCUCCCCAACCGUCUCCCUCAAAACACUCUCCUCUCUUUUCUUUUUCUUUGGAAAGACGGCCGAAAAAAGGGCCAUGGUUGUCGGAUCAACGCCAGUUAAGGGUUACACGACCCCUAAACAGCCCUCUUUCGAAUCAUAAAACUCCAAAUCAAUCCCUCCAACUCCGAAAACCCCACAAAUACUGAUCUUAUGUUUAGAUUUAAAAGAAAAUGUGUACCUUUGGUUAAUGAAGAGGUGCUCUUCGUUCCGAUGAAGAAACGACGGGUCCUUCACCUGAAAGAUAAGGUAAACUAUAGCUGAACAGUGGUGGCUCGAUGACCUGAGCUGACGGUGACGACUCUUCUCCUCCUUGACGGCGGCAAUAGUAGUGAGAUUAGGGUUAGGGUAGAUUUGGUUUUUGUUAGAUUUAGGUUGAUUGAGUUUAGAGUUUAAUUUUGGCGAUUUAAUGUAAUUGGGCUUGAAAAAAAUAUAUGGAAAAUAAUUUUAAUAUUUUAAUA